AAUCAACGCUGGCGGCGUGCCUAACACAUGCAAGUCGAACGAGAAAGUGGAGCAAUCCAUGAGUAAAGUGGCGACCGGGUGAGUAACACGUGACUAACCUACCCUAAAGUGGGGAAUAACCUCGGGAAACCGGGCUAAUACCGCAUAACAUUGCGCGGCUGAAAGGCCAUGCAUUCAAAGGAGCAAUUCGCUUUAGGAGGGGGUCGCGGUUGAUUAGCUAGUUGGUGAGGUAAUGGCNCACCAAGGCGAUGAUCAAUAGCCGGCCUGAGAGGGCGCACGGCCACACUGGAACUGAAACACGGUCCAGACUCCUACGGGAGGCAGCAGUGGGGAAUUUUGCGCAAUGGGGGAAACCCUGACGCAGCAACGCCGCGUGGAGGAUGAAGUCCCUUGGGAU
rnacentral:rRNA from 1 species